GAUGGGUGAGUUACAAAACUUCGCACAUGUCCCCGAAAAUCCUUAAACAUCCACGAAUUUACGGGUUUUUGUUAUAAACAAUGUCGAUAGUUCGAUUCAGCGAUUCGUCCUGCACAAAAUUCAAUUUGUAUAUUUUAGAUUUUUCGCGAAACUUGCGCAAAAGUGUUGGUUAACCGCGACCCUGCGAACUGUUGUGAUGCCUAUGUUAUACACGUAUCUCUCGUGACCACUGGCAUAAAAGGCGUGCUACGGGUGGCAAGAGGAAGCCACUCCGUAAGAAGAGGAAGUUCGAGUUAGGACGUCCCGCUGCCAACACUAAGCUUGGACCUCAGCGUAUCCACACUGUACGCACGAGAGGAGGUAACAAAAAAUACAGAGCUCUGCGUCUUGACUCUGGUAACUUUGCUUGGGGCUCAGAAGGUAGAGCACGCAAGACCCGUAUCAUUGAUGUUGUUUAUAAUGCAUCAAACAACGAGUUGGUGAGAACCAAGACUUUGGUUAAGAACGCCAUUGUUACUAUUGAUGCAACGCCUUUCAGACAGUGGUACGAAGCACACUAUGCUCUGCCCUUGGGACGCAAACGUGGAGCUAAACUGACUGAAACUGAAGAGGAAGUCCUCAACAAGAAGAGGUCGAAAAAGGCACAGGCCAAGUACAAGGCCAGACAGCGAUUUGCCAAAGUAGAGCAAGGUUUGGAAGAUCAGUUUGCUACUGGAAGAGUUCUUGCUUGCAUCGCUAGCAGGCCUGGACAGUGUGGAAGAUCCGACGGUUACAUUCUUGAGGGCAAAGAGCUCGAGUUUUACUUGAGAAAGAUCAAGAGCAAGAAGGCGAAGUAAAUUUGUAACAUGAAAAUGAAUAAAACGCGUACAU